GACGAACGCUGGCGGCGUGCUUAACACAUGCAAGUCGAACGCUGAAGCUCAGCUUUUGUUGGGUGGAUGAGUGGCGAACGGGUGAGUAACACGUGAGUAACCUGCCCCCUUCUUUGGGAUAACGCCCGGAAACGGGUGCUAAUACUGGAUAUUCACUGGUCUUCGCAUGGGGGCUGGUGGAAAGGGUUUUUCUGGUGGGGGAUGGGCUCGCGGCCUAUCAGCUUGUUGGUGGGGUGAUGGCCUACCAAGGCUUUGACGGGUAGCCGGGCUGAGAGGGUGACCGGGAACAUAGGGACUGUGCUGCGGCCCAGGCGACUACGGGAGGGAGAAGUGGGGAAUAUUGCACAAUGGGCGCAAGCGUGAUGCAGCGACGCCGCGUGAGGGCUGGGGGCCGUCGGGUUGUGAACCUCUUUCGCUAAUGGUCAAGCCGCAACAAUGGUUGUGGUGAGGGUAGUGGGUAAAGAAGCGCCGGCUAACUACGUG
rnacentral:rRNA from 1 species